UACGGGGGGAGCAAGCGUUGUUCGGAUUUACUGGGCGUAAAGGGCGCGUAGGCGGCAGCGCAAGUCGACUGUGAAAUCUCCGGGCUUAACCCGGAAAGGUCAGCCGAUACUGCGGGGCUAGAGUGCAGAAGGGGCAACUGGAAUUCUCGGUGUAGCGGUGAAAUGCGUAGAUAUCGAGAGGAACACCUGCGGCGAAGGCGGGUUGCUGGGCUGACACUGACGCUGAUGCGCGAAAGCUAGGGGAGCGAACGGG
rnacentral:rRNA from 1 species